AGUCGAACGGCAGCACGGACUUCGGUCUGGUGGCGAGUGGCGAACGGGUGAGUAAUGUAUCGGAACGUGCCUAGUAGCGGGGGAUAACUACGCGAAAGCGUAGCUACAAUGCAUACGCCCCCGGGGGAAAGCGGGGACCUUCGGGCCUCGCACUAUUAGAGCGGCCGAUAUCGGAUUAGCUAGUUGGUGGGGUAACGGCUCACUAAGGCGACGAUCCGUAGCUGGUAUGAGAGGACGACCAGCCACACUGGGACUGAGACACGGCCCAGACUCCUACGGGAGGCAGCAGUGGGGAAUUUUGGACAAUGGGGAAACCCUGAUCCAGCCAUCCCGCGUGUGCGAUGAAGGCCUUCGGUUGUAAAGCACUUUUGGCAGGAAGAAACGGCACGGGAUAAUAAUUCCCGUGCAACUGACGGUACCUGCAGAAUAAGCAAUCGGCUAACUACGUGCCAGCAGCCGCGGUAAUACGUAGGGUGCAAGCGUUAAUCGGAAUUAUCAAGGUAAACGCAAAGGCGGUUCAGAAGUAAAGACACGAACCUGGUUAACUUUGGAACUGGCGAAUCACCGAGCGAGGGUUGAGGGAGGUGGAAUUCAUGUAGCAGUGAGGUCGCGUAGGUAUGCGGAGAACACCGAUGGCGAAGGCAGCCUCCUGGGAUAACACUGACGCUCAUGCAGAAAGCGUGGGGAGCAAACAGGAUUAGAUACCCCGGCAGUCCACGCCCUAAACGAUGUCAACUAGCUGUUGGGGCCUUCGGGCCUGGUAGCGCAGCUAACGCGUGAAGUUGACCGCCUGGGGAGUACGGUCGCAAGAUUAAAACUCAAAGGAAUUGACGGGACCCGCACAAGCGGUGGAUGAUGUGGAUUAAUUCGAUGCAACGCGAAAACCUUACCUACCCUUGACAUGUCUGGAAUCCCGAAGAGAUUUGGGAGUGCUCGCAAGAGCAGAAUCUGGGAACACAGGUGUCACGGUCGUCAGCUCGUGUCGAGAUGUUGGGUUAAGUCCCGCAACGAGCGGGCAACCCUUGUCAUUAGUUGCUACGAAAGAGCACUCUAAUGAGACUGCCGGUGACAAACUGGAGGAAGGUGGGGAUGACGUCAAGUCCUCAUGGCUCCCGCGGGUAGGGCUUCACACGUCAUACAACGGUCGGGACAGAGGGUCGCCAACCCGCGAGGGGGAGCCAAUCCCAGAAACCCGAUCGUGGGGCCGAUCGCAGUUCGUAACUCGACUGCGUGAAGUCGGAAUCGCUGGUAAUCGCGGAUCAGCAUGUCGCGUGAAUACGUUCCCGGGUCUUGUACACACCGCCCGUCACACCAUGGGAGUGGGCUUUACCAGAAGUAGUUAGCCUAACCGUAAGGAGGGAAGCAUUACCGGCGGUAGAUUCAUGACUGGGGUGAAGUCGUAACAAGGUAAC
rnacentral:rRNA from 1 species